GGUUAAGCGACUAAGCGUACACGGUGGAUGCCCUGGCAGUCAGAGGCGAUGAAGGACGUGCUAAUCUGCGAUAAGCGUCGGUGAGGUGAUAUGAACCGUUAUAACCGGCGAUUUCCGAAUGGGGAAACCCAGUGUGUUUCGACACACUAUCAUUAACUGAAUCCAUAGGUUAAUGAGGCGAACCGGGGGAACUGAAACAUCUAAGUACCCCGAGGAAAAGAAAUCAACCGAGAUUCCCCCAGUAGCGGCGAGCGAACGGGGAGGAGCCCAGAGCCUGAAUCAGUGUGUGUGUUAGUGGAAGCGUCUGGAAAGGCGUGCGAUACAGGGUGACAGCCCCGUACACAAAAAUGCACAUAUUGUGAGCUCGAUGAGUAGGGCGGGACACGUGGUAUCCUGUCUGAAUAUGGGGGACCAUCCUCCAAGGCUAAAUACUCCUGACUGACCGAUAGUGAACCAGUACCGUGAGGGAAAGGCGAAAAGAACCCCGGCGAGGGGAGUGAAAAAGAACCUGAAACCGUGUACGUACAAGCAGUGGGAGCCUCUUAAUGGGGUGACUGCGUACCUUUUGUAUAAUGGGUCAGCGACUUAUAUUCUGUAGCAAGGUUAACCGAAUAGGGGAGCCGAAGGGAAACCGAGUCUUAACUGGGCGUUAAGUUGCAGGGUAUAGACCCGAAACCCGGUGAUCUAGCCAUGGGCAGGUUGAAGGUUGGGUAACACUAACUGGAGGACCGAACCGACUAAUGUUGAAAAAUUAGCGGAUGACUUGUGGCUGGGGGUGAAAGGCCAAUCAAACCGGGAGAUAGCUGGUUCUCCCCGAAAGCUAUUUAGGUAGCGCCUCGUGAAUUCAUCUCCGGGGUAGAGCACUGUUUCGGCAAGGGGUCAUCCCGACUUACCAACCCGAUGCAAACUGCGAAUACCGGAGAAUGUUAUCACGGGAGACACACGGCGGGUGCUAACGUCCGUCGUGAAGAGGGAAACAACCCAGACCGCCAGCUAAGGUCCCAAAGUCAUGGUUAAGUGGGAAACGAUGUGGGAAGGCCCAGACAGCCAGGAUGUUGGCUUAGAAGCAGCCAUCAUUUAAAGAAAGCGUAAUAGCUCACUGGUCGAGUCGGCCUGCGCGGAAGAUGUAACGGGGCUAAACCAUGCACCGAAGCUGCGGCAGCGACACUAUGUGUUGUUGGGUAGGGGAGCGUUCUGUAAGCCUGUGAAGGUGUGCUGUGAGGCAUGCUGGAGGUAUCAGAAGUGCGAAUGCUGACAUAAGUAACGAUAAAGCGGGUGAAAAGCCCGCUCGCCGGAAGACCAAGGGUUCCUGUCCAACGUUAAUCGGGGCAGGGUGAGUCGACCCCUAAGGCGAGGCCGAAAGGCGUAGUCGAUGGGAAACAGGUUAAUAUUCCUGUACUUGGUGUUACUGCGAAGGGGGGACGGAGAAGGCUAUGUUGGUCGGGCGACGGUUGUCCCGGUUUAAGCGUGUAGGCUGGUUUUCCAGGCAAAUCCGGAAAACCAAGGCUGAGGCGUGAUGACGAGGCACUACGGUGCUGAAGCGACAAAUGCCCUGCUUCCAGGAAAAGCCUCUAAGCAUCAGGUAACAUCAAAUCGUACCCCAAACCGACACAGGUGGUCAGGUAGAGAAUACCAAGGCGCUUGAGAGAACUCGGGUGAAGGAACUAGGCAAAAUGGUGCCGUAACUUCGGGAGAAGGCACGCUGAUAUGUAGGUGAAGCGACUUGCUCGUGGAGCUGAAAUCAGUCGAAGAUACCAGCUGGCUGCAACUGUUUAUUAAAAACACAGCACUGUGCAAACACGAAAGUGGACGUAUACGGUGUGACGCCUGCCCGGUGCCGGAAGGUUAAUUGAUGGGGUUAGCGGUAACGCGAAGCUCUUGAUCGAAGCCCCGGUAAACGGCGGCCGUAACUAUAACGGUCCUAAGGUAGCGAAAUUCCUUGUCGGGUAAGUUCCGACCUGCACGAAUGGCGUAAUGAUGGCCAGGCUGUCUCCACCCGAGACUCAGUGAAAUUGAACUCGCUGUGAAGAUGCAGUGUACCCGCGGCAAGACGGAAAGACCCCGUGAACCUUUACUAUAGCUUGACACUGAACAUUGAGCCUUGAUGUGUAGGAUAGGUGGGAGGCUUUGAAGUGUGGACGCCAGUCUGCAUGGAGCCGACCUUGAAAUACCACCCUUUAAUGUUUGAUGUUCUAACGUUGGCCCGUAAUCCGGGUUGCGGACAGUGUCUGGUGGGUAGUUUGACUGGGGCGGUCUCCUCCUAAAGAGUAACGGAGGAGCACGAAGGUUGGCUAAUCCUGGUCGGACAUCAGGAGGUUAGUGCAAUGGCAUAAGCCAGCUUGACUGCGAGCGUGACGGCGCGAGCAGGUGCGAAAGCAGGUCAUAGUGAUCCGGUGGUUCUGAAUGGAAGGGCCAUCGCUCAACGGAUAAAAGGUACUCCGGGGAUAACAGGCUGAUACCGCCCAAGAGUUCAUAUCGACGGCGGUGUUUGGCACCUCGAUGUCGGCUCAUCACAUCCUGGGGCUGAAGUAGGUCCCAAGGGUAUGGCUGUUCGCCAUUUAAAGUGGUACGCGAGCUGGGUUUAGAACGUCGUGAGACAGUUCGGUCCCUAUCUGCCGUGGGCGCUGGAGAACUGAGGGGGCUGCUCCUAGUACGAGAGGACCGGAGUGGACGCAUCACUGGUGUUCGGGUUGUCAUGCCAAUGGCACUGCCCGGUAGCUAAAUGCGGAAGAGAUAAGUGCUGAAAGCAUCUAAGCACGAAACUUGCCCCGAGAUGAGUUCUCCCUGACGACUUAGAGUCUCCUGAAGGAACGUUGAAGACGACGACGUUGAUAGGCCGGGUGUGUAAGCGCAGCGAUGCGUUGAGCUAACCGGUACUAAUGAACCGUGAGGCUUAACCUU
rnacentral:rRNA from 1 species